AUUCCGGCCUUAAACACCCCCAAUGGUCUCGUGUCCAUCCCGUGUCCAUCCCGUGUCCGUCCCGUGUCCAUCCCGUGUUGAAUUCCUGCUGAUUCCGGCCUUAAAGCCCCGGUCCCGUGGCUCCCGUGUCCGUCCUGUGUCCGUCCCAUGUCGGGGUCUCGUGUCAUCACGUGUUGGUUCCGUGUCGGUCCUGGUGGUGCCUUAUCCCGUGUCAGUCCCGUGUCAGUCCCGUGUCGUUCCCGUGUCGUCCCUCUCCCCGUGUUCCCUGCCAAUGGUGCCUUAAUCCCACGGGAAUCCCGUGUCAAUCCCAUGUAAAUCCCAUGUCAAUCCCACGGGAAUCCCGUGUCAAUCCCAUGUAAACCCCCUGUCAAUCCCAUGUAAAUACCAUGUCAAUCCUACGGGAAUCCUGUGUCAAUCCCAUGUAAAUCCCGUGUCAAUCCCAUGGGAAUCCCAUGUCAAUCCUACUGGAAUCCCGUGUCAAUCCCAUGUAAACCCCAUGUCAAUCCCAUGUAAAUCCCGUGUCAAUCCCAUGGGAAUCCCGUGUCAAUCCUACUGGAAUCCCGUGUCAAUCCCAUGUAAACCCCAUGUCAAUCCCAUGUAAAUCCCGUGUCAAUCCCAUGUAUUUCCUGUGUCAAUCCCAUAUAAAUCCCGUGUCAAUCCCAUGUAAAUCCCAUGUCAAUCCUGUGUAGUCCAGCCCGAGUUUAUCCCAUGUAAAUCCCGUGUCAAUCCCGUGUAAGUCCCAUGUCAAUCCCAUGUCAAUCCCGUGUAGUCCAGCCCGAGUUUAUCCCGUGCCAAUCCCGUGUCAUUCCCGUGUUGUUCCCGUGUCAAUCCUUCCCUCCAUCCCCCCCCCCGUCCAGGGCAUUAAUUACCCCCCGUUAACGAGCCACAAACUCUCAGGACAAGGGGCCAGUGACCUCCCCCCUCCUGGGCUAAUUAGCCCCCAUCUCUUAAUUAUUCCAGGCCAAUUCGCCCCCAUCUCUUAAUUAUUCUGGGCUAAUUAGCCCCUCUCUGUUAAUUAUCCCGGGCUAACUGAUCUCCCUGGGUUAAUUAGCCUCGUGGGUUAAUUAUUCGGGGUUGGUCGCCCCGUGGAUUGAUUAGUCAGGGCUAAUUGGCCCAACUGCCUGAUUAUUCGAGGUUAAUUAGCCCACCCCAAUAAUUCGUUCCAGGUUAAUUGUUAUCGAUGAUUCCAGAUUAAUUAGCCCAGUUAAUGUAUUAUUCAAGGUUAAUUAAUCCCAUUAAUGUAUUAUUUGAGGCUAAUUAGUGCCAUUAAUGUAUUAUUUGAG
rnacentral:lncRNA from 1 species